UUCUCAAACUCCUGAGCUCAAAGCAGUCCACCCACCUUGGCCUCCCAGAGUUCUGGGAUUACAGGUGUGAGCCAUCUUGCUCAUUCUAGUUUAAACUUUUGAGUGGUUUGUGUCUCCUGAUUGGACUCCUACAAAUACAGAAUUGAUGCUAGGAAGGGUACCAGGAGAUAGACGCACACAGAUGGGAUUUGGGAAUAGGUUUGGUUAUCCAAGGAGCAGUGCUGAGCUCCUUGCAAUGGGAUAUGGGAUGCUGGUGAUUUCCAGGAUGUGAGCUCACAAUGACUCAAGCUGCCACAUACUGUUGAUUGUGAAAUGCCAGUUGAAGCAUAUGUCCUGCGAGCUUAGGGGUGCUACAAGUUGACCACUGCAGCAGUAAAGAUGACUCUGAAGAAUGGCGUGGGUUGGUUCCUUUCAAAUGCACUUGAGCAGCGGUCUCCAACCACAGGGCCACAGAGCUGGAGAUGGACAGUCUAGUUGCAGGAAAACAAGCUCAGAGAUCCCACUGAGUCUACGUUAUACUGGAUCUACCAUGAAAGACUUGUGAAUCCAGGAAGAGAGACUGACUGGGCAACAUGUUAUUCAGGUACAAAAAGAUUUGGACUGUAACUUAAAAAUGAUCAAAUUAUGUUUCCCAUGCAUCAGGUGCAAUGGGAAGCUCUUCUGGAGAGUGAGAGAAGCUUCCAGUUAAGGUGACAUUGAAGCCAAGUCCUGAAAGAUGAGGAAGAGUUGUAUGAGAGUGGGGAGGGAAGGGGGAGGUGGAGGGAUGGGGAAUGGGCCGGGAUGGGAUAGCGCAAACUGUCCGGGAAGGGAAACCAGCACUGUACAGACCUGAACAACGAAGAUGGCAUAUUCUGUUCAGGGAAUGGUGAAUUAAGUGUGGCAGGAAUGCUUUGUAGACACAGUAAUUUGCUUGUAUGGAAUUUUGCCUGAGAGACCUCAUUGCAGUUUCUGAUUUUUUGAUGUCUUCAUCCAUCACUGUCCUUGUCAAAUAGUUUGGAACAGGUAUAAUGAUCACAAUAACCCCAAGCAUAAUAUUUCGUUAAUUCUCACAGAAUCACAUGUAGGUGCCACAGUUAUCCCCAUUUUAUGAAUGGAGUGAUGAAAACCUUAGGAAUAAUGAAUGAUUUGCGCAGGCUCACCUGGAUAUUAAGACUGAGUCAAAUGUUGGGUCUGGUCUGACUUUAAUGUUUGCUUUGUUCAUGAGCACCACAUAUUGCCUCUCCUAUGCAGUUAAGCAGGUAGGUGACAGAAAAGCCCAUGUUUGUCUCUACUCACACACUUCCGACUGAAUGUACGUAUGGAGUUUCUACACCAGAUUCUUCAGUGCUCUGGAUAUUAACUGGGUAUCCCAUGACUUUAUUCUGACACUACCUGGAGUUAGCACAGACCCCACAAGUUAGGGGCUCAGUCCCACGAGGCCAUCCUCACUUCAGAUGACAAUGGCAAGUCCUAAGUUGUCACCAUACUUUUGACCAACCUGUUACCAAUCGGGGGUUCCCGUAACUGUCUUCUUGGGUUUAAUAAUUUGCUAGAACAGUUUACGGAACUCAGAAAAACAGUUUAUUUUCUUUUUUUCUGAGAGAGAGGGUCUUAUU
rnacentral:lncRNA from 1 species